rnacentral:rRNA from 1 species
GACGAACGCUGGCGGCGUGCCUAAUACAUGCAAGUAGAACGCUGAAGAGAGGAGCUUGCUCUUCUUGGAUGAGUUGCGAACGGGUGAGUAACGCGUAGGUAACCUGCCCUGUAGCGGGGGAUAACUAUUGGAAACGAUAGCUAAUACCGCAUAACAAUGGAUGACACAUGUCAUUUAUUUGAAAGGGGCAAUUGCUCCACUACAAGAUGGACCUGCGUUGUAUUAGCUAGUAGGUGAGGUAAUGGCUCACCUAGGCGACGAUACAUAGCCGACCUGAGAGGGUGAUCGGCCACACUGGGACUGAGACACGGCCCAGACUCCUACGGGAGGCAGCAGUAGGGAAUCUUCGGCAAUGGGGGCAACCCUGACCGAGCAACGCCGCGUGAGUGAAGAAGGGUUUCGGAUCGUAAAGCUCUGUUGUAAGUCAAGAACGGGUGUGAGAGUGGAAAGUUCACACUGUGACGGUAGCUUACCAGAAAGGGACGGCUAACUACGUG